UACGUAGGGUGCGAGCGUUAUCCGGAAUUAUUGGGCGUAAAGAGCUCGUAGGCGGCUUGUCGCGUCGUCCGUGAAAACUUGGGGCUCAACCCCAAGCUUGCGGUCGAUACGGGCAGGCUAGAGUUCGGUAGGGGAGACUGGAAUUCCUGGUGUAGCGGUGAAAUGCGCAGAUAUCAGGAGGAACACCGGUGGCGAAGGCGGGUCUCUGGGCCGAUACUGACGCUGAGGAGCGAAAGCGUGGGGAGCGAACAGG
rnacentral:rRNA from 1 species